AUGGAACUCUGGUGCCCGCCAUCCACGCCUCCUCCUGCCAGGGUAACUGGAAAAAGGAACCCAGUGAGACACUUCCUGCUUCCUCCUGCUAAGCUUCAUGGCUGGACUACUGCACUCUGUCAUGCGCUGAGCUGGGAAGACCUACAUUGGGAAGAGUACCUGGCGGGGUAUCUUGGAGGAAAACAGUAUCUUCAGGUGUGCAAACAGAAGCAGGUACGUGUGAGCUGUGAUGUGUGCUGUGGAGGAUGUGAACGGUGGCCACGCAAAGAAGCAGGGGACGCCUUCGCUGGAAUGAGGGGCCGGCCUUUCCAGGGACCACCUGGCAGAACAGUAGCCCAGGGACGGGGCUUUGGCCUGGGCGGAGGGACUCCAGGCAUGAGCUCUUAGGCUGUGGCCGGAAAAGCCCAAGGCAGGGCUGCUCCCUGCAUGAGCCAACCAUCCCUGCAGUGGGCUGUGCCCACAAAAGUCAUGUCCAUACACUUAAAAUACGUUAAAAUGGCAGAUUUUAUGUUACAUGUAUUUUACCACAAUUUUAAGAAAUUCAUGAUAUGCUCAAGCCCAUCGAAUUGCAUACUUUAAAUGGAUGGAUUACAUGGAUGUAAAUUAUGUCAAUAAAAUUAUUUUUUUAAAGCUAUGUCCAAGUCCUAACCCUAGUACCUGUGAAUCCUUGGGGAAAGAUCCUUGCAGAUGUAACAAAGGACUUUGAGAUGAGAUUAUAUGAGAUUUAGGCCAUGCCGUAUAUCCAAUGGCUGGUGUCCUUAUCAGAGAAAGGCAGAAGAAGACUUGAGAUGCGACACAGAGGAGAAGUUCAUGUGGGAUGGAGCAGAGACUGGAGUGACGUUGCCACAUGCCAGGGAACACCUGGGGCCACCAGAGGCUGAAAGAGGCAGGUAGCAUCCUCCCCGGAAGCCUUCAGAGAGAGCAUAGCCCUGUGACACCUCCAUCUUGGACUUCUGAUCUCUAAGACGCGAGAGAAUCAGCUACUGUUGCUUUCAGCUAACCAAUGCAUGGACAUUUGUUCCAGGAGCCCCAGGAAGCUGACCCCAUCAGAACGCCAAGGACCGGGGCAGCGAGUCCCACGUGUCUGAGCAGAGAGUCUGAGUGUCCUUAUCACCCAGAUGAUAAGGACACCACAGCCUCCUCUUUUAAAAAGACACAAGGCGGAGGGAUGCGGAGGCUCAUGCCUGCAAUCUCUUGUUUUGGGAGGCUGAGGCGGGUGGAUUGCCUGAGGUCAGGAGUUCGAGACCAAUCUGGCCAACAUGGUGAAACUCUGCCUCUACUAAAAAUACGAAAAAUUAGCUGGGCAUGAUGGCGUGCGCCUGUCAUUCCAGCUACUUGAGAGGCUGAGGCACAGGAAUUGCUUAAACCAGGGAGGUGGAGGUUUCAGUGAGCCGAGAUUGCACCACUGGACUCCAGCCUGGGCGACAGAACAAGACUCCAUCUCAAAAGCAAAAACAAACAAACAAACAAAAAAUACAAGGCAGUUCCGUGGGCAGAGAUUUGGAAUAUUCUAGAAUAUUUUGAAUAAAGGGGGAAAAGGUAAGACAACACUAUACAAUGAGAGCUUUUGAAGAAUAGUAAGAAUUUCUGAGGAUGGACGCAAUGGCUCAUGCCUCUAAUCCCAGCACUCUGGGAGACUGAGCUGGUGGAUUGUUCAAGCCUGGGCAACAUAGGAAGACCUCAUUUCCACUAAAGGUUUUUUUUAAAAAAAUUAGCCUGGUGUGGUAGCACAUGCCUGUAGUCCCAGCGGCUUAGGAGGCUGAGGUGGGAGGAUCACUUAAGCCUGUGAGUUCAAGGCUGCAGUGAGCCAAGAUCAUGCCACUGAACUCCCGCCUGGGCAACAGAGCAAGCCUGUCUCAAAAAAAUAAAAAUAAAAAGGAAUAGUAAGAAUUUUUGGAAUUCAAAUGUGAAUUUUUGUCUGUUUAAUUUCUUUUCUUUUUUGAGACGGAGUCUUGUUCUAUUGCCCAGGCUGAAAUGCAGUGGUGAAGGAUAUUUCCGUGUUUUGAUGAACUUUUCAGUCAGUACUUUGCUUUCUAUUCAGCUGGAGACUGAGAUUUCCUGGGGGUCUUUGGGGCUGGGGAGGAAGGAUCUUUUUUCCUUUUUUUUUUUUUUUGAGAUGGAGUCUCACUCAGCAGGAAUGAGCUAAGACACACAUAUUUCAGAAAACUGCCUACAUAACUAAUAAUAAGAAUGCGCCACAUGGGAGGCCUCAUCCUCUGGACUCCCCAGAUCCCCUCUAUUUGGACAAAGUAAAGGAAAGUCCCUUUCUCAGUGUGGAUUCUGAAUAGAGAAGUCUGUCACCCUCAUGGUGUGAUGGGUGAGGACUUAGUAACCCGAAUCCCAGUCCUAGGACCCUUUAAAAGCCUGAAGGACCCUUCUGUGUGUGGGUCUAGCUGAGAUGCAGUGAGAAGUGGAAGACCACCUGAGUCACUGUUGCAGGAUGAUUUAUUAUUAAAGUAAGGCACCUGACCAUGGAAUGACCUCACUUCUAUCACCACUACAGAACCGAGCAAAGGAAAUUCCGAAAUCACCACUCAGUGCUCAACCCAGCCUGGGAAGUCAACAGCAAGGUUUCAAGGCGGACCCUUGCUUUCCCGUGUGUGUGUGUGUGUGUGUGUAUGUGUGGAUCUUUCUAACAGUGACGCCCAUGAGAGCAGGCUCUCCAACUCCUGCCGGUGACCUUGGACGGCAGCCUUCACCACUCGGGGCUCAGGGCCUCAACCACCAAAUGAGGAGGGAGAACUAAGCUGUCCUAAAACCAUUUUUUUUCCAUUUCUAAAUCCUUUGGGUGUUCUAAAAAUAUACUAGGAUCUCUCAGGCAAUUCUGCAACAUAGGAAAAGUUACCCCAGCAGGCCUGGUUUAAAACCCAACUCUUCCCUCUCUGUCAUUCACCAGCUGUGAAAGUGUAAGUAGCGUGUUAUCCUUCCUUGUACUCAGCCUCCCCUUCUGUAAAAUGGGCACAAAAGAACCUGGCCAGGCGCAGUGGCUCACGCCGGUAAUCCCAGCACUUUGGGAGGCCAAGGUGGGUGGAUCACCUGAGGUCAGGAUUUCAAGACCAUCCAGGCCAACAUGGUGAAAUCCUGUCUCUACUAAAAAUACAAAAAUUAGCCAGGUGUGGUGGUGGGCACCUGUAAUCCCAGCUAUUUGGUGGCGGGGGACGGCGGUGGGGUGGCUGAGGCAGGAGAAUAGCUUGAACCUGGGAGGUGGAGGUUGCAGUAAGCCAAGAUUGUGCCACUGCACUCUAGCCUGGGUGACAGAGUGAGACUCGAUCUGAAAAAGAAAAAAAAAUUAGUUGGGCAUGGUGGUGGGCACCUGUAAUCCCAGCUACUCAAGAGGCUGAGGCAGAAGAAUCGCUUGAACCUGAGAGGCAGAGGUGGUAGUGAGCCGAGAUCGCGCCACUGCACUCCAGCCUGAGUGACAGAGCAAGAUUCCAUCUCAAAAAGAAAAAAAAAAAACCCAACCAGGAACAAUGUGGAUGGGCUUCAAUAGCAGCAGACUUCCUCUGGCCUCAAAAACCCUCCGAAAUGCCAGGCUGAUGAUUUCCACGUGCCUUUGAUAGUCCAGAAGCCAGGAAUUGUGUGAAGUUCCGUGUUCCUUUGGAGCAUUUCAGCAUAAAAUUGGUAACGGUGUCAGGACUUCACACUGUGGCCUAAGAAUAAAAGUAAGUUUCAUUCUCUCCCAGUCUUUGGGGCUGGGGCUGAGCUGUACACUGAAUUUGACUACAAGUUUACUGGAAGCCAACAGAGACAGAAGCGCAGGAGGACAGUGCAGGCUCUCCAAAAAGAGGAAAGUGUGUCUGUUCUGCAGGAAGGAAAACACAGCGUCUUUCCUUGGCACUAAAUUUAAAACAAAAUGUAGUAUGUGAGAGAUGUUAAUAAUAUUAUCACAAUCGUAGGGAUAAUAUCUAUAGUCUGAGGGAUGAAUUAUUCAUG
ensembl:lncRNA